rnacentral:rRNA from 1 species
AGAGUUUGAUCCUGGCUCAGAAUGAACGCUCGCGGCGUGCCUAAGACAUGCAAGUCAUACGGGAAAGUAGCAAUAUGAGUACAGUGGCGCACGGGUGAGUAAUACUUGGAUAAUGCGCCUCUUUGCUGGGGAUAACCAGGCGAAAGCUUGGCUAAUACCGAAUAGUUCGACAGGGCUGAGGCUUUUGUCGAUAAAGCCGUAAGGCGCGAAGAGAGUAGUCCAAGUCCCAUUAGCUAGUUGGUAGGGUAAAAGCCUACCAAGGCUACGAUGGGUAGCUGGUCUGAGAGGACGAUCAGCCACAUUGGAACUGGAACACGGUCCAGACUCCCACGGGAGGCAGCAGUUAGGAAUUUUGGGCAAUGGGGGCAACCCUGACCCAGCAACGCCGCGUGAAGGAUGAAGGCUUUCGGGUUGUAAACUUCUUUUAGCAGGAAAGAACACAAUGACGGUACCUGCAGAAAAAGCACCGGCUAACUCUGUGCCAGCAGCCGCGGUAAUACAGAGGGUGCAAGCGUUAUUCGGAUUUACUGGGCAUAAAGAGCGCGUAGGCUGUUUGCUAAGUCUGAUGUGAAAUCCCUGGACUCAAUUCAGGAACUGCAUCGGAUACUGGCAGACUCGAGUACAGGAGAGGAAAGCGGAAUUCCAGGUGUAGAGGUGAAAUUCGUAGAUAUCUGGAGGAACAACAGUGGCGAAGGCGGCUUUCUGGACUGAAACUGACGCUGAGGCGCGAAAGCGUGGGGAGCAAGCAGGAUUAGAUACCCUGGUAGUCCACGCCGUAAACGAUGGAUGCUAGAUGUCGG